rnacentral:rRNA from 1 species
UACGAAGGGGGCGAGCGUUGUUCGGAAUUACUGGGCGUAAAGGGCGCGUAGGCGGCCCCUUUUGUCGCGUGUGAAAGCCCCGGGCUCAACCUGGGAGGUGCGCGCGAAACGGGGGGGCUUGAGUUCGGGAGAGGAGCGUGGAAUUCCCAGUGUAGAGGUGAAAUUCGUAGAUAUCGGGAGGAACACCGGUGGCGAAGGCGGCCCCCUGGUUGGAUACUGACGCUGAGACGCGAAAGCGUGGGGAGCAAACAGG